rnacentral:lncRNA from 10 species
UGCAGUUUGAUCUCAGACUGCUGUGCUAGCAAUCAGCGAGACUCCGUGGGCGUAGGACCCUCCGAGCCAGUGUCUUCCCACUCACAGAACCAGGCAACAAAGAAGUCUGUGGCGUCCACAGGAGGGAAACAAAGCAAAACGAAGCGCCGACCAGUGCGGUACUAUUAAUUCAAAUUAAUGACCCUCACCUACAAAUAAAGCUGGUGCCUGGCAGGUCGCUGGCUCUUGGAGAGCUGCAAUGAGAACAAACGUGGCUUUGCCGUCUGGCCAGGCAAUCGAUGCCUCCUGCCUGUCCCUGGCCGCCCCGCACCCACCUCUUACAGAUGUUACCUGUCUCCUGUUAAUUCUCCCGUGUCACUCUCCACUUCCCCGGUGGGGGUGGGGGGGGGGCGGUCAAGGGUUGACCUGGAGGGUGGGCUUAUUUCAUAAGAAAGGCCGAUUGAAAGGGCCCAGAUGCAAAGUCACACUGCUCUGCUGAGCUGGGAGGACACCCCACUGAGAGACGUGUCUGAAAUGGGUGGAGGUCUCUGGGCAUCACUGGCAGGGGUGGGUGCCUGACUGUCAUUUAGGGACAUUUCUGCCUUGAUCUGUUGCUCUUAUUUAUCUCUGCCAAAAUAAAGAUGUGUUUGAU